rnacentral:rRNA from 1 species
AUGAACGCUAGCGACAGGCUUAACACAUGCAAGUCGAGGGGCAGCGGGGGUAGCAAUACCCGCCGGCGACCGGCGCACGGGUGAGUAACGCGUAUGCAACUUACCUAUCAGAGGGGGAUAACCCGGCGAAAGUCGGACUAAUACCGCAUGAAGCAGGGGCCCCGCAUGGGGAUAUUUGCUAAAGAUUCAUCGCUGAUAGAUAGGCAUGCGUUCCAUUAGGCAGUUGGCGGGGUAACGGCCCACCAAACCGACGAUGGAUAGGGGUUCUGAGAGGAAGGUCCCCCACAUUGGUACUGAGACACGGACCAAACUCCUACGGGAGGCAGCAGUGAGGAAUAUUGGUCAAUGGGCGUAAGCCUGAACCAGCCAAGUCGCGUGAGGGAUGAAGGUUCUAUGGAUCGUAAACCUCUUUUAUAAGGGAAUAAAGUGCGGGACGUGUCCCGUUUUGUAUGUACCUUAUGAAUAAGGAUCGGCUAACUCCGUGCCAGCAGCCGCGGUAAUACGGAGGAUCCGAGCGUUAUCCGGAUUUAUUGGGUUUAAAGGGUGCGUAGGCGGCCUUUUAAGUCAGCGGUGAAAGUCUGUGGCUCAACCAUAGAAUUGCCGUUGAAACUGGGAGGCUUGAGUAUGUUUGAGGCAGGCGGAAUGCGUGGUGUAGCGGUGAAAUGCAUAGAUAUCACGCAGAACCCCGAUUGCGAAGGCAGCCUGCCAAGCCAUGACUGACGCUGAUGCACGAAAGCGUGGGGAUCAAACAGGAUUAGAUACCCUGGUAGUCCACGCCGUAAACGAUGAUUACUAGGUGUUGGUGGGUAUGACCCAUCGGUGCCGCAGCAAACGCAAUAAGUAAUCCACCUGGGGAGUACGUUCGCAAGAAUGAAACUCAAAGGAAUUGACGGGGGCCCGCACAAGCGGAGGAACAUGUGGUUUAAUUCGAUGAUACGCGAGGAACCUUACCCGGGUUUGAACGCAUUCGGACCGAGGUGGAAACACCUUUUCUAGCAAUAGCCGUUUGCGAGGUGCUGCAUGGUUGUCGUCAGCUCGUGUCGUGAGAUGUUGGGUUAAGUCCCGCAACGAGCGCAACCCCUGUACUUAGUUGCCAGCAUGUAGAGAUGGGAACUCUAAGUAGACUGCCGCGAAUAACGCGGAGGAAGGUGGGGAUGACGUCAAAUCAUCAUGCCCCUUAUGAUCUGGGCUACACACGUGCUACAAUGGCGUAAACAAAGGGAGGCAAAGCCGCGAGGUGGAGCAAAUCCCAAAAAUAACGUCUCAGUUCGGACUGCAGUCUGCAACUCGACUGCACGAAGCUGGAAUCGCUAGUAAUCGCAGAUCAGAAUGCUGCGGUGAAUACGUUCCCGGGCCUUGUACACACCGCCCGUCACACCAUGAGAGUUGGGGAUACCCGAAGCCUGUGAGCCAACAUAUCUAUGAGGCAGCAGUCGAAGGUAGAAUCAAUGAUUGGGGUG